rnacentral:lncRNA from 1 species
CCUUGCUGUGAAUGGUUGAUUGAAGCCAGUAUUGUUGAGUUAGAGUUGCUGAGAAUAGAGGAGGCUUCCAGUGAGAGAGAUUCCAGAGUCCACGAAAUCUAGGCUUGCUGAUUUUGGGGAUUUAGGGUUGCUGAUUUUGGGGAUUUAGGGUUGCUGAAUUUGGGGAUUUAGGGUUGCUGAGCGAGGAGGCUGAUUGUUGUUCUUGGGAGAGAGAGAGAGGGAUGAGGCUCACAGUAGAGAAAGAGGCGAGGAGGCUCACCAAAGAGAGACAAUGGGAGGAGGCUCACGGGAUUUGGAGAGGGUGGGAGCCGGGUCACGGGGGAGAGAGAGAGGGAUGCCAGAGUUUAGGUAGAGAGAGAUGGUUUCACCGAGGAGAGAGUUUAGGUACAGGGAGAGAUGCCGUGCAUAGGCUAGAGAGAGAGUGUCAG